AACGAACGCUGGCGGCAGGCCUAACACAUGCAAGUCGAACGCCCCGCAAGGGGAGUGGCAGACGGGUGAGUAACGCGUGGGAACGUACCCUUCGGUUCGGAAUAACCCGGGGAAACUCGGGCUAAUACCGGAUACGUCCGCAAGGAGAAAGAUUUAUCGCCGAAGGAUCGGCCCGCGUCGGAUUAGCUAGUUGGUGGGGUAAUGGCCCACCAAGGCGACGAUCCGUAGCUGGUCUGAGAGGAUGAUCAGCCACACUGGGACUGAGACACGGCCCAGACUCCUACGGGAGGCAGCAGUGGGGAAUAUUGGACAAUGGGCGAAAGCCUGAUCCAGCCAUGCCGCGUGAGUGAAGAAGGCCUUAGGGUUGUAAAGCUCUUUCAGCGGGGAAGAUAAUGACGGUACCCGCAGAAGAAGCCCCGGCUAACUUCGUGCCAGCCGCCGCCGUAAG
rnacentral:rRNA from 1 species